AACAAUGAUUGAAGCCUCAAGGUCCCAAUUAGGUCCUACCAAGUUUAUCCAUUUUGUUCUUAAAUCCUUGUCUAGUGACAAGGCCUCUAAGCAUUCCCGGAGCACAUCGCCUCUCUCAGAGACCAUGUUUUCAUGCAGGUGAUCUUCUACUCGAAUAUGGAGGUAAGUGAAAAAAGAACUAGCCUUGUCAUGUACUUUAAAUCUGUGUGUUCCAUCAUGUUGGGCAACAUCGUCCCCUAAUUCUUUUAUGAUUGUCAAGG